UCCUGGUUUCUCAGGCAGUCUCUUCAGAGUGCUUGCUUACGCAAUAGCAACUGAAAACAGGAGUUGCGCUCGUUAAAGGACUUAACCCAACAUCUCACGACACGAGCUGACGACAGCCAUGCAGCACCUGUUCACCUGUCUAUGCUUUCGCAUAGAAGACUCUAUCUCUAGAGCUGUCAAGUGUAUGUCAAGCCUAGGUAAGGUUCCUCGCGUAGUGUCGAAUUAAACCACAUGUUCCACCGCUUGUGCGGACCCCCGUCAAUUCCUUUGAGUUUUAAUCUUGCGACCGUACUCCCCAGGCGGAUCACUUAGCGCGUUAGCUACGAUACUAAUCCUGCAGAGCAGAACUAACAUCCAGUGAUCAUCGUUUAGGGCGUGGACUAC
rnacentral:misc_RNA from 1 species